rnacentral:rRNA from 1 species
ACUUUAAUUGAAGAGUUUGAUCAUGGCUCAGAUUGAACGCUGGCGGCAGGCCUAACACAUGCAAGUCGAGCGGCAG